AUUAUAGCAUACCUUACUGCGCCCUUUAUAAGGUAUUUUCUAGUGUAGAAUAGAAGACUGACGAUUGUUCUAGUUUACACUGAUAAGUUGAUCUUAAGACAAAGAACAGCUUAUUAGAGACCCUCUUAGACUUCUAUAGUAAUUAGUAUGGUGGUUUCAGCAGGAGUACUUUAAAUAAUAUGAACAUGAUGUAACCAGGCGAUUGUAACAAUCACCAAUCCUAACCGAUUUAUACGCGUAAGUUUUGCAAAUUCUGGUAAUUUUGUCAUUAUUUUGUAUCCUACUCUCUACGUUAACUUUCAACAGUAAUUGCCUCUGGAUAACAUUCGGAGUACUUUAAAUCAUAUGAUGUAACCAGGCGAUUGUAACAGUCACCAAUCCUAACCGAGUUAUACGCGUAAGUUUUGCAAAUUCUGGUAAUUUUGUCAUUACUUUGUAUCCUACUCUCUACGUUAACUUUCGACAGUAAUUGCCUCUGGAUAACAUUCGAAGCCUAACGGACCAUGAAUGGAGUAGAAAAUAAUAGGACUGCAGUAAGUUGGAGAAAGGAAGAUUGAAUAUAGUGGUAGAAUAUCAAGUGCCAAAACACAAUAAUUAUGAGUCUAGAAACGGGACCCACGGCGAAGAAGUUUGCAAGACAGAGUAGUAAACUAAAACGAUUGAUAUCUCAACUAAUUUUUUUUGGUGAGAUGUCAAAGAGAGAAUCUUAUUCCAAAGUUUAUACAAGUAAAAUAUAAUAUCAAAGGAAGAAAAGUAGACUAUUGUGUACAAAAAAUUAAACAACAGAUACUACACAUCACGAUUCAGCGGAAAAGAAGUGUUAUAGCCAAACAAGAAAAUCAACUACAUUUAGCGGCAGCAAAAUAAAAUGAUGAUGAAUGUUGGAUUGAAUGGGAAAAUCGGACAGUGAGAGACACUGAGAAGUAUAAGUAUGAAUUGGACCAGAAAUAGAGAAAAUUAAAAGACAAAAAGAAAGAAGAUAAACAAAUCAAAUUGGAUACAUUACCUGAAGAUAAUCAAAGGGCUUUGGAAUUUCCUAAAACAUUGAAUACGUCAGAUGUGGUUCUUAAUAACAAUCAGUUGGAGGUAUUAAAUAAAGGUUUAGGUUUUGCUUAUAUAUAAUGAAAUAUUAGAGAGGAGAAGAAACGAUUAAUUCCAGCUAGUUUUAUUACUCCGAGAUUUUAUGUA